rnacentral:rRNA from 1 species
GAGUUUGAUCUUGGCUCAGGAUGAACGCUGGCGGCGUGCUUAGCACAUGCAAGUCGAACGAAGCACUCAGGAGCGAUUUCGGUCAAUCCUGUUUGACUGAGUGGCGGACGGGUGAGUAACGCGUGAGUAACCUACCUCGCAGUGGGGAAUAACAGUUGGAAACGACUGCUAAUACCGCAUAAUGCAGAGAGACCGCAUGAUCUUUCUGCCAAAGAUUUAUCGCUGUGAGAUGGACUCGCGUCUGAUUAGCUAGUUGGUGAGGUAACGGCUCACCAAGGCGACGAUCAGUAGCCGGACUGAGAGGUUGACCGGCCACAUUGGGACUGAGACACGGCCCAG